GCGGACGGCUCAGUAUAUCAGUUAUAAUCUGCUCGAUUGUAAAGGUUAUUGGAUAACCGUGGGAAAUCUAGAGCUAAUACAUGUAGGGUUUGAUUUGCGGGUAACUGUGAAUCAAUUGCAUUUAUUAGAAAAUACCAACCAUGUGAGCAAUUGCAUGUGGUGAAUCUAGAUAACUGUGCAGAUCGUAUAGCCUCGAGCUGACGACAUUUCGACUGAGUUUCUGCCCUAUCACCUAGAUGUUAGUGUAUUGGACUAACAUGGGGGCAACGGGUAACGGAGGAUUAGGGUUCGAUCCCGGAGAGGGAGCCUGAGAAACGGCUACCACAUCCAAGGAAGGCAGCAGGCGCGCAAAUUACCCAAUCCAGACAAUGGGAGGUGGUGACGAAAAGUACUAGGUCUGCAACUAUGUUGCGGGCUUGGAAUGGAAACAAUUUAAGCAUUUGUUUGAGCAACGACUGGAGGGCAAGUCUGGUGCCAGCAGCCGCGGUAAUUCCAGCUCCAGUAGCGUAUCUCAAAGUUGCUGCGCUUAAAACGCUCGUAGUUGGAUCACAGACCAUUUGUGAAUUGAUUGUGAAUGAGCUGACUAGAUGCUUCGUUGUUGGUCAACAUGUUCUCAUGUUAAGCCUCAUCGUCGUAGGUCACUUGUCACAACAGCAUUUCGCAUAUGGUAAUUGCACGUGAGGAUGGUUGUUGACCUUAAGUGAGUUGACAAUCGUGUCUUACGGAGUGUGCCUUGAGUAAAUCAGAGUGCUCAAAGCAGGCUUGACGCCUGAAUGUUUUUAGCAUGGAACGAACAAUCGUGUAUGGUGUGUACUGGUAUCGGCAAAGAUGACUCCGGUCUCUGAGCUGCAGUACGCGACACCGACCGCCAAUUACGGAUGUUGGUUCGUAUUGGGGUACUGAUUAAGAGGAGCGGUUGGGGGCAUUGGUAUUUGGCAGCGAGAGGUGAAAUUCUUGGACCUGCCAAGGACUAACAAAUGCGAAGGCAUCUGUCCAGACCGUAUCCAUUAAUCAAGAACGAUAGUGAGAGGUUCGAAGACGAUCAGAUACCGUCCUAGUUCUCACUGUAAACUAUGCCGACCCGGGAUCAGUUUGAAGCUUUUUUUAGCGCUUCGGGUUGGUCCCCCUGGGAAACCUUAAGUUUUUCGGUUGCGGGGGGAGUAUGGUCGCAAGGCUGAAACUUAAAGGAAUUGACGGAAGGGCACCACCAGGGGUGGAGCCUGCGGCUUAAUUUGACUCAACACGGGAAAACUUACCUGGUCCGGACAUCAAGAGGAUAAUCAGACUAAGAGAUCUUAUUUGAUCUGGUGAUUGGUGGUGCAUGGCCGUUCUUAGUUCGUGGAGUGAUUUGUCAGGCUAAUUCCGGUAACGAACGAGAUCACAAUCUCUAUUUGACGAGCUGGAGCAGCUACUGACUCGGUCGUCGAGGGUAACACCUUGGUGUUCUGAUGUUGGUAUCGCAGGCAAUGUAUGGGGACACAUGUAGCGCUAACAGGGUUUACUCUGUUAGUGGCUGCCGGUGAACUUGUACUUUCCCUCCAGCCAUACAGUGUGUUGCAAAACAAUGCGCUGUAUCAUAGAGAGACAACGGAAAAUAAUCAAAAUCCGAGGAAGUGUGGCUAUAACAGGUCUGUGAUGCCCUUUAGAUGCUCAAGGGCUG
rnacentral:rRNA from 1 species